rnacentral:rRNA from 1 species
GUUGACCUGCCGGACUGCCUGCUAUCUGAUUGGUACUAAGCCAUGCGAGUCGUUGUACAAUACAAGGCGGACUGCUCAGUAACACGUAGUUGAAGUUAACCUAUGGAUGGGCAUAACCUCGGGAAACUGAGAAUAAUACCCAAUGGACCACAGUGCCUGGAAUGGCCUGUGGUUGAAAUGAUUUAUCGCCGUAGGAUAGGACUGCGGCCUAUCAGCUUGUUGGUGAGGUAAUGGCCCACCAAGGCUAUAACAGGUACGGGCUCUGAGAGGAGGGGCCCGGAGAUGGGUGCUGAGACACGGACCCAGGCCCUAUGGGGCGUAGCAGGCGAGAAACCUUUGCAAUGUGCGAAAGCACGACAAGGUUAAUCCGAGUGUCUCCUGCUAAAGGAGUCUUUUGUCAGUUGUAGAAUCACUGGUGAAUAAGGGGUGGGCAAGUUCUGGUGUCAGCCGCCGCGGUAAAACCAGCACCUCGAGUGGUCAGGAGGUUUAUUGGGCCUAAAGCAUCCGUAGCCGGUUGCAUAAGUUUUCGGUUAAAUCUAUGCGCUUAACGUAUAGGCCGCCGAAAAUACUGUGCAGCUAGGGAGUGGGAGAGGUACCCGGUACUCGAUAGGAA